GUGGAUUAGAUACCCUGGUAGUCCACGCAGUAAACGAUGCAGACUAGGCGUGGGGGGACUUGACCCCCUCCGUGCCGGAGCUAACGCGGGAAGUCUGCCGCCUGGGGAGUACGGCCGCAAGGCUAAAACUCAAAGGAAUUGACGGGGGCCCGCACAAGCGGCGGAGCGUGCUCUUUAAUUCGUCGCAACGCGAAGAACCUUACCAGGGUUUGACAUGGACCUGCAGAGCCGUGAAAGCGGUUGGCCUUCGAGGGUGGUCCACAGGUGCUGCACGGCCGUCGUCAACU
rnacentral:rRNA from 1 species